rnacentral:lncRNA from 1 species
GCACGACACGCAGGUCGUAUUUUAAAACCCAAAACAAAAUAAAGGAAAACUAAGGCCAUAACCGAUCACCACAAGACAAUAAUAAACACAUUAUUAUUAUUAUCAAUUUUAAUUCUUUUAAUCAAUUAAAACCAAAUUAAAUCUCGACGACCGAUCACAUUACGCAGAGUUAGCCGAACGGGUGAAUUUUGCCUUGCGUUAACCGGUUAACCAAAUGCGUUAACUGGUUAACA